UUUUAAUUAAUAUGAUGGAAUUCAGGUUUUGUUAUAAAACCAAUAUUUUUGUCUCUUCCAUUAAGUAAAACUGAUUUAUAAUGUAAUUUUGAUGCUUUCAAGGUCAAAUUCUAAAACUUUUAACCCUUUCAUCUUUUAAAAACUUCUUUAGUAAAAUAAAAAAAUAGCUUAGCAAUUAGUGUGAUUUGAGAGAGUAUAUGUAGAAUUUUUAGCAAAAUGAAAUUUCAUAAACAGAAUUGUAGUGAAAGCUUCAUAUUUAAUUUAUUUCUUAAACUAUACCAGGGGCACGUGAUAGACCUUUUUAGAGUUAUUUAGCCUUGAAAUCUUUUCAUAUAUUAUAUAUAACUUAUUGGUUUGAAAAUCCAUUUGUGUAAUUUAACUUCUUAUGCUUCUUAAGUAGAUGUAUGAGAAGGUUUGCUAUUUUUCCACUUAUCUCCAUAUGUUAUUUUCUCAAGCUGUCUUUGUUAAGUACCACGUGAUAUUUAUAACAACAUAAAAUGUUAGUUCUUCCUUAAUUUGUUUUACAUAUUAUUUGAUAUAAACUUAAAAAGACUUGAUUUCAUCUUUCUAAUGCCUCUUUUUUUUAAUAGUCAAAUAAUAAAAACUUUCAAGUUUUUUUUUUUUUUUUUUCGAGAAGGUUAGAAAAAAUAUAAAUAAUACCUGUGAUCUUUUUUCUGGGGGGGGUUGCAAAGGAGGGAUGCCUAAGUAUUGGUUUUGUUAUGGUUUAAUUUUAAAGGCAAUAAGUAAUGUGCAGUUUUGUCAGUCUUUCUGUUGUAUAGUAAACAGAAAAGUGCAGUGUACGUUCUUUAUUAAAUAAUGUGAGCUAAAUUAUGAUGCAUACAAAGUAAAAAACUAUUAGGAAGAGUGUAUGUAUGAUAUUAAUGUUAUUUCUGUUUUAGUGCUUUUAAUUGUAAAUUCUUAAUUAGGUUAUUUAUAUUUUCAUCUGAAGAAGAUGCAAAAUUAUUAGAAUAAAUGAAAUUGAGACUGAAUUUUUUUCAUUCUUUGUUCAUUUAUUUUCUUAAAAAGAGUCAGAUAAGCUUUCCUGAUCAAUAAAACUGAGUCAUUGCUUUUAAAGCAGUUAUAUCUGAAAAGUAUGCAUGUAUAUGAAUUCUAAAAUGACAUUUUAGGUAAGACUUUCAUACUUUUUGAGUUUUCUUUUGUUGUGUAAAAUGGAAGUGUGCAUGCUUGUAGUACUUUUAUUAGUUCAUGUUCAUUAAUGAAUCAAUCUGUUGGUUCAUUGAAAUAAAAAUUUGAUUGGAAAGCAGAUUCUUUUUCAUUAAAUUGAAAUCUUCAUAAAUUAAUGUUUUCAAAGCAAACUUUAAUAACAAAUGUUCAGUUUGGUAUGUUUUCAAUAUAUUUUCAGUCUUAAUUUAAUUGGGAAAAAAUGAACCUUUGAAGUGCAUAAAAAAAGAUCCAAGAACCAUACCUCUAGAUGCCAUAGCUUUUGAGAAAAAUACAAAGAAAGUGAUAUUUCAUCCAAUAUUCGAAAAAUAGGAUUUCUAUAAAAUACGAACACUAGUAGUAUAAGCAUGUGAUAUUAAAAUGUGAAUUUGUUCAAAAUGACCAGCACACAUAUUAAUCUUCACUGCAGCCUAGGAAUAGCAAGUUUCCAGAGUGCUGCCUCUCAGUUCAUCUUUUCAUCACAAUUCAUCUUUUAAAAUGUAAUUGCUUAAAAUGCAUUUCUUAGCAAUUUAAAUCUUUAUUUUAUUUUGAUGGCAGAAAUGUCUGUAGUGAAACGUACUAUUACAAGCUGUGGAAUGGCUAACUAGACAAGGUUCAUCUGCAGGGUGUCUGCAAAAAUUAACACAGCUUGAAGAUAUCAAAUAAAAAAAAAAAAAAAAGUGCUUAUAAAAUAAACCUUAAUUUAAAACUCACAAAAUAAUUAAUAUACUAAAAGAAGAAAAUAGUUUACCAUAUAGUUUAAUACAACAAAUGAUUAAAUAAUUUUGUUCACAGAAUUCAUCUGCAAUUUUAUAUCACAAAUGAUAAAAAUGUUUGAUUAUUAUAUUUCAUUAUUUAGGCAUCCAUACUUUUGUUGUUUGUGAAAUACAAUUGUAGAGAAUAUUUGUUCACAACUAUGUGAUAAAUUAUUUUGUUCUUUUAUUUGAUUAAUCAUUUUAUGAGUUUUAAAUAAAAGCUUAUUUUAUAAACAUUUAUGUACAUUAUUAUUAUUGUCUUUUUAGUCCUGGUUGCACAUUAUUAGUCAAAAAUUUAAAAAUUAUUUUUUCAGCAACGAAUAAUCUUUCUUCUACUACUCUUCUACUUAACAAUUCUGUUAUUAUAUGCAACCUUAUAAUAAAAUAUAGUAUUUCUAAUUUUACAUUAAAAUUUAUAUAUAUUAUCUGCAAUAAAAAUAUAUAUAUAUUUGGUCUUAGACCACAGUAAACUCUUGUGGGAAUUUUAUCAUCAAUAAAUUGCAAUGAAUGACAAAAAUGCAUUUCGCGAUGUUAACUUUUUAUGAAAAAAUAUAUUGGGUAUAAUUCAGAUUAAGAUAGUUUGUAUAAUUUAAACAAACCUAAAUAUUGUUUUAAUUAAAGGGAGAGGGAAUGAAACAAAUGUUAAUUGAAAGGAGUUUUAGCACUGCUUAAUAAGUACAUGGUACACUUAAUUUUUAAAAAAGUUUGGGUCUUUUUGUUUGGAACAUUAACAGAUGCAACUCUUUAAAAGUUUCGUGGCAAGGAGUACUGUUUUCGUUGUCUUUCAUAUAAAGGUUCUCUUCUUUCUUCAUUUGGGCCAAUCUCCAUUACUGUUGAACAACAGUUUUUUUAAUUAGAGAAAAUCGCUAAAAAAACUAAUAGAAUAAUCAGUAGUCAUUUUCUCAAUAAUGUCCCUUUUACUCAGUUUAUAGGCGAUUUCAUUGCUGGAUACAUUUAUAUGAGAAAAUAUCCAAUAAGUGGAUAUCUGUGAUCAUUGUCAUGUAUUUCAACUGAUAAGUAUUUGAAUAACCACAUGAUCUUCAGCUGGAUUCCAAUUCUGUAAAUGUUGAGUAGAGCUGCAGCUGUCUGUAGAUACUACUGAAACCAGUAUCGCUUAAAAUGGCCCUCAGGCUUUCAUUUAUUGCAGUUAAUUUAUUCAUGAAAACUGAGCUGUUAUCUGUAUUUUGUGUUGAAAGUUCAGCAGUAUAAUCAUUGUAUUUAAUAAAAACACUACAUCCAGUACAGUUAGCUCAUUUUUAAUGCCGUUUGUGUAUAUCCUAAUGGCAUCAUUCGGAAUAUCAUUUAUAGAUUUGAAACCUAUUUGUUAUAGAUAGUCAAGGACCUGAUAAUUCUUAUUAUUGAUAUUCUUUUUAAUGCCAUUUGUGUAUAUCCUAAUGGCAUCAUUCGGAAUAUCAUUUAUAGACUUGAGACCUAUUUGUUAUAGAUAGUCAAGGACCUGAUAAUUCUUAUUUGUGUAAGACAUAAAUUCUCUAUGCAACAACACACCCGACAAGCUCUCUGCUGGACAAAUGCAGAGUUUCAGUAAGGUAAGCUCCACUAAAUGGGAGAUGAUAUUCAUUCCCCCCCCCAACUAAAUGUGUUGUGUGUUGUUCUUUAAACAUUGAUUAUUUCUUCAUUCACAAAGAUAUUCAGAAAUUUGUCUGAGUUACGUAGCUUUUUAAUUCAUUGAAAUAUUUCACAAUGAUCGAGUUUCUUCAUGAAACAGCUGUGGGAGUUUUCCCUCAUAAAGUACUCUUUUAUUUAGGCACCUGUUUCUUAAACAUAUUUUGGUACGAGCUACACUUAAAUGAACUCACUCAAGUUUUUUAAGAUUGAUAGUGGAGGCACUAAUCUAUACCGGAAACUCGUAUUCCAGGAUACUUCUUAUAAUGGCAGUACACAUUCUCGGGAAUGUUUUAGCAUUGCCACCUCAAUUUGUACUAGAAAUAAGUUAAAGAAUAUUGAGACUCCCACUUUCCUUUUUAGCCAGAUUUACGAUGUGCCCAUAGCCCAUAAUCUCUUGAGUCCAUGACAAAAUCCAAGUGCAUUGGAUAUUUAACAUAUGAAAGAGUCUGAUAAUUGCAAUAAAUCGAGGUAUGAUAUGAGUACUAAUACUUGUUAGUAUUGAAAAAAACUAAUUUAGGAUUGUGAAAAAUUGAAUGGCAGUUUGUAUUCAUUAACACAUUUUAACAUGUCAUUUAAGGUAAAAUUUAUAUUUGAUUUAAUAAGAUUGAUGUCAGAAUCAGAGACCACAUGGCAGUGUUUUCAGCAAACUUUCCAGCCUCACAUUUUAUGGGUAUGACCUCUUUAAUUCCAGCUGUGUACAAAGUAAACUUGGUGACUGGUGCUGUGAUCUCUUCUAAAAUCACACUUUUCUCUCGGCAAAAUAUCUCUGGACUCAAGAUAAAAAAUAACUCUAAUAGAAUAUUUUUUUCUAUGAUUUUACAUGGAAUGGAGAAAGCUUUGUUACAGGUGUGUAGAUUUCAGGACAGCUAGCCUUCUUAUCUGAUUUUCUAAUUGGAAUAAUAGUUGCUCUCUUCCAGUUUUUGGAGAGUUGACUUCAUGCAGGAAGAAGCAAUUGUUGAAGAAAGGGUUAUCCAUUUUCAAGCUGAGUUUCCCCCCCCCACAUUACCAGUGGCUCAGGCCGCUGAAUACUGGGAGUUUGACAUGGGUUUGAUCCUAGGCAAAUGGGUUGUCUACAUGGUUGCUUUCAUGGCUUUCAUCAUGUGUAUAGUGACUAUGAGACAGUUUCCCUUAGAACUUCCUCCACGAAGCGAUCCUUUCCAAAUACAGAAAGCUCUUUUGUGUGCUUUGGCAAGUUCAAUAAUCUAACCUGUCUAAUUGUAUAAAUAUAUAAAUCAAAGCUAUAUGUAAAACAUUUUUUUACUACUCUUUUUUUAUUUAAAUUUCUGAUUUAGCAUAGUUUUCUGAUAUAUCAGUUUUUUCUUUUCUUUUUCUUUUUUUAAAGGAUUUUCAUGCUGUGAUUAUAUUGUAUGUGAAAUCAUCCUCAUAUGAGUGAAAAAUAUGAAGAUGCUAUAAAACUUUCAGGAGAUAAUUUACUUAUUUGUUUUUAAUAUGGAUUUAAUACCCUUGAUUUUCUGUGUCCCAUUUUCUAUAAUUGCAGCAAAGCUAAGCUUUUUAAUAUCAAUGCAAAUUUUUCACAUAUGGUAAAAUGAUGUACAGGUCUGCAUCAUUAUAUACAAUUACAUCAAAUAUGGAAUAUUCACUUGAUUCCAAGAUUGCAGCGCAGGUGGAGAUUCUAUGUGUAUGUUUGAAUCUAAGAUUGUUUAACUUACUAAUGGAAUCAUGAUGUAAGAUUUUUAAUUUCUCAUUUAUGUCUUUGAUAUUGUAAAGGUGGUAUAUAUGCAAGAUAAUUAGAUUAUCUAAAACUAUAUACUUUUGUGUAAAUUUUAAAUAUGCAUGUAUUAUUUAGUAUAAAGGACUAUAUAGUAGGCAUUGCUUAAUGUGAUCAUGGCUUAUUUGGAUAGCAUUAAUGGAGUGAUAACAAUAAACAAUGAGAAAAAAUAAGCUUCAAAAUAGUGCUGAAAUUUAACUAAUUUAAUAUAAACACUAGAAGAAAAUAUCAAUAAGAACUUUCAAAGAAUUUUUAUUAGAAAAAUGCAAAAACUUGUUUAUGAACUGUUCGUAACAUUUUUGGAAAUUAUUUGAUCAAUGCUAUAACCCUAAUCUUAAUACUCGAAGAACAUCCCUCAUUCACUGGAAGAGAACAUCCAAAUGUAAAAUUUUAAAAAUAGGAAUUAAAGAAACCUUAAUUUAGCGUAGAUUAUUUUCCGGGAAAUUUUUAAGAAUCCUGGAAAAAUUCCGGAGAAAUGUUUUUUGCUCUUGAGAAGAGAGACCUGUGUCUGAUCAUCCUCAAAAUUGAUGAAGUUAUUCAAAAUUUAAGCCAAACUAAGGCUGUUUUUUUGCUUUGCUUUAAGGGGCUGACUAAUAUUGAAAACAAGCUGUGUAGUGAUGUAAUCCCUCACUUGCUUGUUUUUAUAAUCUGUUUUGACCAUAUUUGGUGACUUAUCAAGUAUCAGUUAAAAAAGAUAUUUUAUAAUGAUGUCCCUUAUUUUGCAUAACAAAUUUAUUUUAAGUUUGAUGCCUUUACUGCACUUCUCAACUUUCCCUCACAUUUUCUUGCCAGGAUGUAAAUUUAAAGUUAAGGGAAGUGAGUAUUUAAACGGGUGAAUUGCUGCUGAGUUUAAUCAGAGCAUGUGUUCGCUAGCCAGUGCAUGUUUCGUUGCUAUUUUGCUGCUAGUAAGCCUCUUCGCCAUUCCGGAUUAUCGUCAUGCCUGUUACUUUUUUGUGAGUCAACCUGUUAUCUGUAAUUUAAUGUACUAAUCCAGCACUACUUUAGAUUUUGACUUGAAUUAUAAUAUACAUUUUAGUUUCACUGCAAGUUGAUGGUGCCAUUGUAAAGCAUGAAGAUCAUGCCUUUUUGUUAAUUAUUUGAAGUAAAUAAAGUGUUACUUUCACCUUCUUCUGUGCUGGUAAUUUAUUCAUGCCUGUGCAAGAAUUCGCCAAGUUUAUUGUAGGAUUUAAUUUAGUUUAUGUGGAAUAACAGAGACAGAUCUUACAAUACUUUGAUAAUAUUAACCAAAUUUUUAAUGCAAUAAGCAAUAUAUUUUUUCAUGUUUCUGUGUACAAAUGGGUGGGACUUGGCAAUUUCAUAACAGCAUCCAAAUGGCAACAUGAAGUGGCAUCUGUUGUAAUAAAUUCUGAAUAUAUAUAUAUUAAAUAUUGAUUUGUAUAUAUAAAAUAGCCAUGAUUUUUUAAAAGCUAUUUUAAAGAAAAUAUAUCUUUAAUUCAAUUUAGAAUGGUGACGUAUGUGUGUGUGUGGUUAUAUUUCUCUGCUAGCAAAGAAUGUUAAGUAAAGAUAUGUAAUAUUUAUUCUGGAAAUUUUGCCAGUUUUUCAAUAUGUAUUUCUGAGACGAGCUUCAUUCAGCUUAAUAAAUGUUACAUAUAAUACAAUUUAUUCAUUGAUAAGGUUUAAUAACUAUAUUUCCUUUAGAAAUGUUGAUCAAAGUACUUUCAUGAAUAGGCAAAUAUUUCAAAGCUGCAUUUACAUAUUCAUAUAUGAGCAUCUAUUAUUUAUUUUCUGUAAAUCAUUGAUUGCGUAUGUGCGUGAAGUAUUUCACUUCUGCAGUUUUUUUCACUCUCCUGUCAAGGAAGAGGGCAAACUUGAUGCAAGAUUAUUGACUUAUGCUAUACUGAACUGUAGUUAGAGAAAAAUGCCAAAUUGUUUGUUAAAAUUAAUAGGAAUUGUUUUAAAUCAUUGUAUCAAUUUUAUAUUUAGUGGUAAUAAUAUCAUUAGACUUCGCUUUAGCAUAAGAGUAAAUAUGAAAUAAACUUCUAAGAAUGAUAUUGUGGUCAGUGCCAAUUUUUGGUUAUGUGAGAUAAGUCAAUAACAUGUUGUUGUACAUAGAACCAAUAACGUCUUUACGUGUGGUUUGAAGUUCAAAAGAUAAAUAACCAUUUCUUUUAAUCCAUACAGACAGAAAACUAGGUAAUUAAAAAAGAAUACUUUUAUUAAUUAAAGUGAGAAACAUCCAAACUUUUGUGUGUUCUUUUAAUAUAUCAAAGUAAAUGAGAAAUGUAUUAAUAUACAAUACAAUUGCUAUUGUUUUCUGCUUACCUAGGUUUACUUUUUAUAAUAUUAGAUUAUAUAUGUUAUAUUUUUAGUUAAGAUACUCUUACAUGUACACAUAACAGUUUUAAAUAAAGAACAGAUUAAAGGGGGGAUCUUUCUAUAUUUUUUUUUUACAAAGUUUCACAACUUAUGUUACUUUUACUUGUUUCCAAACUCGUUGGAUGCAUAACUUUUCACAAUGAAUGUCUUUCCAAUUCAUUGUGAAAAGGAUCUUUGGUAGCUGUUUUAAUCUAUCAGUGGCAAUAAUUUUUGGGGAAAAUUAAACAGCUAUUUUUUAUUAAAACACUAUCUACAGUUGCUUAAAAAUAUUUGGUGUAAAGAGAUUAAAUAUUAGAAUAGCAUUGGGCUCCUUUUAGAAGCAGGGCGUAAUGGGAAAGAUGACACUGCUUGGGAUUUAUGUAAUAUUUUUUCUAAGAAGAGUUUAUGGGAAAUAACGUAGUUGAAAUAUGAAGUUUCUUAGAUGAAAAAUAAAGCAUUUUUGAUUAAUUAUUUAAAUACUCUUAAACUAUUUCAGUUUUUAACAUAAUAAUAUGUGAAUUUAUUAAUUUAUUUAGGCUGUCCUGCUGUAUUAUUAUAUAAUUGUUACUUGCCAAAAUGCAUAAUUUGUGUAGAUUUCUGUGUAUAAAAGGAAAUUAAACAAUUUAUAAACUUGUUUUGUUCACAUUGAGAUUUUAAUUUUGUUAAUAGUAUUUAACAAAUGCAAACAUAAAUUAUUUUGAAUUAAAAAUAUAAAAUUGUCAUAAUUAGAUUAUUACAUGUAUGUGGCCAGUGCUUAAUUGAAAAUAAAUUUAAAAAAAUACCUACUUCAAGUUAAAUUCUUAAAAAUGAUUUUCAUUGGUUUAUAUUUUUUUCUAUUGGCAAUAUUUGCCAUGUUCUUGUUCAAAAUAUGGUUGUAUUUCAUGGGUAUCCUGGAUACCCAUGAAAUACAACCGACAUUAUGUUUGUAUAAUGUCUCAAUUAUUGAACAAAAAUAAUUAGAUAGAUUAUGGAUUAGUUUUUGUACAUAAGGGAAGAAGGGAAAAAAUUCAAUGCUGAUCUUAAUGAGCCUAAUCUAUGUCCAAAUUUGAAUUUACAGUUGUUAUAUACAUUUCGUGGGCAUGAACUACUUGAAAGCAUUGGGCUAGUUUUUCAGUUGUUUUCUACAAACAUCUGAGUUGGUAGUUUGGAAGAAACUUAAAAUGCACACCAAUUUCCCACCAAAUUGAUAGCGUGAUCUUUUUGUGUUACGAUUUAGCUUUCAGUGUGAUUUGUGCUAAUUUAUCUUGUCUGGACCGUGAUUUUUUUCGAUGAAUAUUACUGUAAAUGAUCCUUUUUUCAUCACCAAUGGCAAUUUGUUUCAAAAAAGGUCAGUUACAUUACAUUUGAAAUGUGUGUUACAAAUAUUGAUUUGUUAUGCUAAAUGAAUGUCUUUCCAAUCGAUGUGGAAUCCAAAUAUCAAGCUUCUUAACGAGUCCAAGACAUCUUAUGCUAUUUUUAAUUGUUGUGUGUGCUAUAUUUAACCUUUCUGCAAUCUAUUGUACAGUUAUAUGAUGAUUUUAUUCAAUUAUGGCUUUAAUUUUGUCAACUUCAGAAGGUCAACCAGAAUGCUGUUCAAUUUCAAGUUAAAAAUCUUCACAACAAAAAUUUUUAAACCAAUUCGGACACAUGCUUCUGUUAAAUAAUCAACACUAAACACUUUACAUAUUUCUUUAAGCCUAAGCUGCUUUUUUGCCUUUGUGGAAAUAAAGAUGUAACAUAUGUUGAAAAUGUUUAUAUUUGACCCCCUAGUAAACAAAAUGCAGAAUGCAAAAUUUGUUUCUGUAGAAACCUAAAAGUGUCAGCUGUCAAAUUUCAAAAGCAGAAAACAGAAGACAUAUCUAAGGACAGAAGAAUAACAAAACAAACAUAAUGUUAUCUAUUUGUGCAAACUGCUUGCCAACCCGAUAAUAUGUGAAUGAUUUACUGAAUAGUUGGUCUGCAGUAGUUAUUGCUUUAUGUAUAUCUAUACAAAUCAUUAUUCCAUGAAGUAUAAUUUGAAGUUCAAUGAAUAAGUUUAUGUAUAAAAAUAGAUUAAGUGAUAUAUGCUUAUUUGGUGAGAAGGGUGCAUGACAUUCAGCCGACAAGGACAUUUAGCCAACAGGACAUUUAUGUGACACAGAGAGUUAGCCGUCAGGACAUUUAACUGUCAGGACAUUUAGUCAACAGGGCAUUAAGCCGACAGUGUCGUUUAGCUGAUAUGUACCCAAUAAUUAUUUAAACUUACUAUCAAUUACAAAAAUUUCUCUACUUCUACGUAAGUUCAGUAUUUAAGUUAUUUUUUUCACUUAUCAGUGAAAUUUAUUUUUGAUUCUUUAAUAUCCCAUAUGUGCUUUUAAUUCUUGUGUAAUUUAGCAUAGUUUGAUUUAUAUCACAUUGUUUAAUGUAUAUUAGCUAAAUUGAAAAAGCAUUGCAUGCCUUCAUAGUGUAGUGGUCAGCAUGCUCAACGCGUUUCGAGAGGCUCGUAGUUCGGGUCCCGGUGAAGGCGUUGCUCACUUUUCAUCUCUCCUGCUUCAAAAUAACCCAAUGUCUCUACAGUGGCACCUGAACUAAAAGGGUGGUUAGUGAUGAUUCUUCACCCCCAGAAUUUGAUGAUUGGGUCUCUUAAUCCUCAGUCAAUCUUUGAAAAGGGAAGUAUAUAAGGAAUUUCUCCUGCUUUCAUAGUGUAGUGGUCAGCACGCUUGACACAUUUCGAGAGGCCCGUGGUUUGAGUCUUGGUGAAGGUGUUUCUCAUUUUUCAUCUCUCCUGCUUCGAAAUAACCUAAUGUCUCUACAAGUUUAUUGACAAAAAAUAGUUCAUGAUAAUUUUCAUUAUAUUUCGUACUAAUGAAUUAAUAGAAAUGAAGGUUCUAUAUAGCAAAAUGUAGUAAUCUAGUUUAUUAUUUUUGUCAGCAUUAAUAUUAAGAGACACAAAUGUGCCUCAGUUGAGAGAGUUUGUCAUGUAAUUGAAACAAAAGUGAUUUUAAUAAUUAAGUCUUCUGUUGCACUCAAGGUCAGGUGUAAAUUCAUAUGUCUAAUUCUCUCUUAUUAUUUUUUAAGUGCAGUGGAACACUAAUAAUAAAUGUGGUCACCAUGUAGGUGGCUGAAGUCGCUUAAUACAUGGUUUGAUGCAUGCUAAGUAUCUAAACUGACUGUAUAUCCAGUAGUGUAUAAGCAGUUGUGACAUACCUGAAGCCAUAUGUAAAAUAUUACAUGCAUGUGUGUAAUUGAUCCUAAUUUUCUGAUAUUUCAAAGACUAAGUAUUUUUUGCUUAAAAGUAAAAGUUUUUAUUUUUAAAAAAUAAAGUUUAAAAUUUUUUAAGCUUUCUUUGGCAUCAGAUUCAGUUUCAUGGUAAUUAUUUUCAUUGCUGGAAAAAUAUUAAAUAUUAUACCAUUUGGAUGUAAAUUAUCUAUUUGUGUAGGUAUUUAGUGAAACUGUAUUAUGAUACAAUUCAGAGCCGGAUUUAUACUUGAUAAGGCCCUAAGCUAUUUGAAAUAUGGGGCCCUUUAUAAGUCUGUUAUACUAUAUUUUAAUUUUGGGGUGGGCCUAAGCUAUGGCUGGUGUAGCUUAUACAUAAAUCUUGCACUGAUAAAAUUUUGCUUAGAAAUUUGAAAAUGAUUCUAGUAUUUUGUGUUUAUUGAAUGAAAAGAUAUUAUAUAUUAUUUUUUAACUUGCAUCCCUCUCUUUAAAAAGAUUUGUUGUGAAAUGUGCUUCUGUAAAUCCUCAUCUGUAAAAUUAGGAAUUUUUAUUCAGAUACAUUUUUGCAGUUAAAUGAAUGUUUGUAGCAUUAUGUCAGAUUUUUAUUUUAUUGCUUUUUCAGCUUAUUUGUUACUUAUGUAGUGUAAUGCAUAUGGUUAUAUUUAAUGUAAUGAUAUGUUGCUUUAAAUAAGUUUAAAUAUGUAAUUGAAAUUGUUUCUUGCUUGUAAAUAUGUUUUGCAAAAUGUAUUGAUGUUUAAGAAUAAUCAUUUUGUAAAUAUGUACUUUUUUUAAUUUGCUAAAAUAAGAUUUUCUUUAAAAUUUUGAAAACAAUGAAAGCAUUGAAAAGUACAUUGUUGUGACUUCCAUUGUUGAAUGUAAAAUACCUUAAUAAAAAUGGUUUUGUUCUUUCAUUAAUAUGAUGUGACAAACAUGGAUAUGCAACAAAUCUUAAAUAUUUAUUAAAAUCUAAUGGCUUGAAGGUUCUAUGAGUUGAUGUUUCAAAGUUUUUUUUUUUUUUAAUAAAUUCUUUAUACCUGUAAAUUUAAUUCCUUGACAUAAAGUAUUUAUAGUGUGUCUUUGUUUUAGACAGGUGGGGGCAGUACCACUGUAAAAUAAAUGCUUGCUUAUUAUUACAUAAUCCUUAUUUACUUUUAGCCAUAUUGUUCAGAAUUUUUUAUCACUAUGCAAGUUGUCUGUAUUGUAAUUUACAGUACAAAGUUCAAGUUGGUAGCUCAAGUGAUUCCAGAUUUUAGAUCAUUAGUUUAAAUCUAGUAAUACAAAAUGCAAGUAUUACUGCUUCACUUAUUUUUUAAUGUCAGAUAGAAGAAUUCUAAAUCCCCACAGAUUUUUUUCUAAAUAUCCACUUACUUAUAUCUGUAUCUAUGUUAUGUUACAAGACCCCACUGCAAAAGAUCUAAGAAGAAAAAAGAAGUAACUAAAUUUCACUUGUGCUUCUUUUUAGCUAGAAAGUCCUCCACAAAGUCAUCCUUUCCUUUCGACAGAUAGCCCUUUCAUGCUUUGCCUUAAUUUAAAAAAAAAAAAAAAAAUUCUCUUUAACGUUUUAUAUUGAAAUGGACUUCGCAGUAAAAACAUAUUUCAAUCAAUUAUUUAUCUGUAUGAAAACCAAGGAAUUUAACUCUUUUUUCCUUUGCUAUUUUGCUACCCGACCGACAAACUUGCAGGGUGUGUAGGGGUACAGAGACGACUCAGAAUCACAAAGGAAUGCAGGGUCACAAAUGCCGUAGUCGCGAGUUAUGGUGAAAAGAACAAAAACAGCAACACUUUAAUGGGACAGAAAACGUUUUAUUGAAAGGUUAUACUACAACAGGUGUUCGAAAUUACAGUCGUAACGGCGGACCUGACAGCGGCACUCAAUGGAAUUCCUUACAUUCUGGAAGUUUUCUGGCAUGUCACGUAUCCUCUCGGCAGCUACAGAUAUUCAUGUGACGAAGUCUUCAGCUGAAGGAAUGGGCGUUUCUUACACACUCUUCAUGUGAUCCCAGAAUAAGAAGCAGUCCAUACAUGGUAGGUCCGGUGAUCUGGCAGACCAAUGAACCGGGCUACUACGACCUAUCCAGAGGUGUUGGUGGGCAUCAGUCGUGUAAUGGGAAGGAGCUCUGUCAUGCUGGUACCAUUAGUUAUGCCCUACUGUCUGGUAGGACUGGGCAGAAGGAACGGUCUAAUGAGGUAGUCUGCAAGAAUGCCAGCCCAAACAUUGACCGAGAAACGCUCUUGAGCUACAUGUGGUUGCGUACAAUGAGGGUUCUCCAGAACCUCCCUCACAUGUGAAGUAUGCUUCAUCCGUGAACAAUAUGGGCACAGCAGAUGUGCUAUCUGUAGCUGCAAAAACCAUGUAGCAAAAUCCUACAGAGUGGAUAACUCUCAGGCUGUAACGAUUGGAUGGGAUGAAGAUGGUAUGCACUCAUUUGGUUUGCAGUGAGUAUUCCCCAGACAACGGAUUGCGAUAAACUCACUUGUUGGGCUAUCGCUCGAGCAUUCGUGCUUUGAUUGUUUUCUGCCAGGCGCAAAACAGCCUCCUCUUUGGCAGGUGACCUGCGCGUUUACGUCGAUUCAUUAUAGCUUUCCUUAAACAACAACGCAACUACGGCAUUUGCGACCUUGCAUUCCUAUGUGAUUCCGAGUCAUCUCUGUACCCCCUACACACCCUGCAAGUUUGUUGGUCAGGUAGCGAAUGGCUCUGUAUAUAUACAUAUAAGACAAAAAGUAAGAAAUUUAAAACCUAUUUUAAACAAAGACUCCAAAAAGUUAAAUUCAGUACCAAUAAAUUUCAAAAUAUCCUAUAACUAUACAAAAUAAGAAUUUAAGAAAUGUGAAAUUAAAACCUAAAAAUUAGAAAAACCUGAAAAUGCAUACCAAAACCAGUAAAAUAAAUAAAGAAGAACUGAAUUAAAUCUGAUAUAACGUUAUCAAGAUUGAUAUACCAAGAGUUGCAAUCCCCCCUUCAAUUGAAAAUCCUUCUGUAUUCAAAAUUAGCUGAUUAACUAUUCUUAAGUUUUUUUAAUUUAAUAGUAAUUCGGAUUCUAAGCCUGAUGUCGUUCAUUAUGACAGGCUGGCCCGUUCAUGCGGACGUAGUAUGUAGUCGCCAUCGUGUGUAUAAUAUAAACAGUAUACUAAGACCAUGGUCUUAUGUGUAUAUAAAUUUAUAAAUGUUUGUUUUGUUAUGCGUUUGUUUAUUGGUUUAGUAUUUAAAUUUUUGUAUGUUAUUUAGUGAUACUGUUUUAGUAUUGCAUUGCUUCUUCGUAAGUACAGUUUCUUAUCAAGGAGUUUUACUGCCCGAAACGUGCAGUCCUUGAGAAGGUGGCAGUGUUGCAAAUUUUGUAUAAUGUGACAUUAACGGCCUGAAGCUUUACCGGAAAAAUAAGAUUACAGGGGCAAAUCUAACAUUGAGGUAAAUGUUAUCUUGCUAAAUUGGUGAGAUAUUGCCAAAGUGGCAGUAAUUUUGGCGUCUAAUUUUUAUCGCCAAAUUUCGCAACAUUUUGAUCUGGUCCCUGUUUUAAUGAAAUUGGCCCAAAAGCCUAUGUAACUGUAACCCGCCCAUUCUCAGUUUUGAGUUCGAAGUAUCUUGAAGACAUCUGUAUACUUUGUAUGUCUGUCUUUUAGAUGUGCUUUGAAGUAGUUGUGUUUAACAUUCUUAAUAGUUUGAAGUGGUAAGUACUGACUGUGUUCUUUCAUACUGAGAAGAGCUGAUGUGCUUUGCAGUAGUUGUGUUUAACAUUCUUAAUAGUUUGAAGUGGUAAAUACUGACUGUGUUCUUUCAUACUGAGAAGAGCUGUAUGAGUACUUUUUGUGGAAAGCUCCAAAACUGUAAAGUAUUUCUUUUAUGAAAAUAAAUUUUAUCAAGCUA